AUUAUGCUUGACCGAUAUAUUUUGCUGGCUCCAGUAUAAUAUACUGGAGACUAGAGCUCCGAAGCUCCAAACUCCAGUAUAUUAUGCUGAAACGAUAUAUUAUUCCUAAACUCGAAUAUAUUAUGCCGGAGUAUUUUUCAGAUUUUGAACAGUAUUUUCAUUCAGAUUUAUUAUUACAUGAAAAAUGGCUAAAUUUCGAUUACUUUUGAUGUUGUGGCUAUUUUUGAAUGACCACUUAUAAAUCUGGCUAUUCUUGAAUUUCUCCCUCUUAAACUUGCACCUGAUUUUCAUCUCAGUAAAUAAACUUUCAUCUUUCUCAUUGAAGCACGUUUACUUGUAUAUUUGAGAAUUAAGAAGCUCCUGCGCAAGUCCGAACAUAGCACGUGCUACAAAUUCACAAAAACAUGGCAUUUCAGUCAGCAAAUGACCAGUUAAAACCUUAUAUGUGGAAGGCACGAAAACACACCCCUCACCGAUUAUGUGGCGACUCUUCAAAAUUCAUAGCCCGAUUCCCCAAAAGAAAUAAGAGUUGUUUUGUCCAUAAUGUCGUAAAUCUAGUUUCACUCUUUUGGAAAAAAAGGGGAAGUCGAUAGCAUGGCGACACUGCUGGGAUUUCUUUAAGGCUUUUACCAUUACGUGCUUUUGUGACUUAUCCCUUCCUUAAUUGCCUUUAUUUUCUCUCCUUUAAUCAUUUCAUCAUGAAUACUAACUUGACUCUUCAUGUUUUUCUUUCCUUUUUCUUUAUUCUACCUCCUUAUUAUUAUUUCAAUUCCGAGAAUUUAUUGUAAUAUUUACAUUAUGAAAGUGAAAAUACAUGCAAUUUGUUUCAUUGUUGUAACUGCAUUCCUCAACAUCAUAUUCCACUCGUGUCAAAAGAAAUCCUAUUGCAACGCUUAUAAUGAGUGGUUGCACCCUUCCGUUAUUAUAACCCCUAAAUGUGUCAAAGGCAUAUUUGUGGUAAAACCAGUCGAUCAACGGUGUAGUCGACGGUUGCGCGCCUUUCCCUCUUGAGUUGUCCGCUCAAGGGUACCUUGUCUAGCAGUUCAAAAGUAGAAACCUUAUUUCAUUAAACUGUUCAUGCAUCAUGGUCAACCCCAGCCGAGUUAGUUAUGUUGUCCACAUAAUGACUCAUUAAGAUAGCCUAAACCAAAUUCCACUGGGUUUUCUUUGAACCCAAACGGACACCUCCACGUUAUGUACAUUUAUUUGGAGAACUAAAAUUCCUUAUUGCUUAUUAUUGAUUUAAAUAGUCGAGUCUGAUGGGAUUCAGGGCCUAACACUUUGUUUUGCAGAAAAUGAGGCACGAAGUCCCAAGAUUCGUUAUGGUAACCAACAUUCACCCAAGGCUACUAAGUUGGUGGGAGGAUCUUUAUGCCAUUGAUCAGACCCUCAUCUGCAAAUACUUAGGAAACUUUCCUUCACUUUUGGAAGUUAAGCCUGACAACAAGAUUAUCAAAGCUGCCACUCUAUUCUGGGACAGCGAUAGGUCAGUUUUUCACUUCGGGGACCUCGAGAUGACCCCAUUGUUGGAAGAAAUAGGGGGUCUAGCUGGAAUACCUUGGGAGACUCCGGGUCUACUUAUGCCAGAAAAUCGCAAAGGAAGGGGUUUCCUUAAAAUGAUGGGAAUUAAGAAGAAUCCCGACCUGACUUGUCUAAAGGAGUCCUACAUACCAUUUGACUUCCUAUAUGAAAGGUUUGGCCACAACAAGUAUUACCGCACCUACCCUGAUGAGUUCUCCCUUACAUCUUUGGGGCACAUACAUAGAAGGGCCUUCGUGUUCGUGUUCUCAUUCUUGGGUAUGAUGAUCUUUCCUAUGAAGAAGGCUAGGAUCCACACCAAACUAGCCAUGGUGACCACAACCUUGAUAGAGGGUAUUUACGGGAAAUCUUUCAGCAUAGUGCCAUGAUCAUUGCCGAAAUGUAUCUAGCUUUGGGAAAAUAUCAGCAAGGGGCCCUACACUUUGAAUGGUGUAAUCUGUUACUUCAACUUUGACUCAUAGAACACCUUCAGAAAGGUGACUACAUACAUGAAAUCAUACGCAGGGAUUGGGAUGCCCAUAUCGCUUUUCACCACCCAAAGCGCAUGAACUUCAUACCCAACAUGUUUGCUCAGCCAGAGGACGCCAGUGGAUGGGUAGGGUUGUUUGAGAAUCUAAAGGAAGAGCAAGUUCAUGUUCAGUGGAUGUUCGAGUGGUUCCUAAUAGGGGAGUUCCUUGUCCGUUCUCGAGAUGCACCAUCCCUCAUACUCAUCGGUCUGAGGGGAACUGAUCCUUAUGUCCCUCUCCGGGCCAUGAGGCAAGCUGGAAGAAAGCAGAUCAUACUAAGGAUAGAGAAAAUGAGUCAUUUCAAGGCUGACUUUAAAGAUGAUGAUAGCCCGCACAGGUGUCAAGCUCAGCACAUAUGGCAUUGCAAGCUCGUCUUAGGGAAGGAAUCUAUUGAACCAGAAAGGUAUCAUGCCGGGUGUGUAGCGCAUUACACGGGUUUGUUGGAAGAUGAUCACAUUGUUUUGGGUCGCCCAGGGUUUUCCCAUGGUCAUAGGCUUGUUGAUGAGAAAACAGAAGCACGAGACAAAUACAAUCAACUGCGCAAAAGGAUGCGAGAAUGUGAGAAUUAACAUCGGGAAAUACAAGAAGCCCACAAGAAGCUGAUCAACGAGUGGAAGGAUAUGUCUAUCAACGCAAACAAUAGGUUGGGGUAUCUGGAGCGAGGUCUAGUGAAACUGGAAGGAAGUUAUUGAAGAGAAUUGAAGAUUGUCAGAAUGCCGAGGGAAGUUCAGGCGGAAGUCUGGCCCGAGCCUAUCUGCUGUUAGGACUGCGCGAGUUGAUGCAGUUGUACGAGGGAGGAAAGAGUACCGAAUCUGGGAAGGUCCUACUAGGACCAAGUAGUUAGGAUCUUUUAUUUCCUACUUUCAUGAUAUUUUUAUUAUGCAGUUGUUUUAAGACUCAUUUUGUUUUUGUCAAUAAAAUGAGGCAUUUAGCAUUAUAAGUUCUCCAAAUUUAAUUUGUCUCUAGGCCUACCUCGGGCACAACGAGGCACCCAAAUUAGGAAAUGACUUAUACUAUUGCACAACGUAUUUAAAUAUCCUAGUAUUAUUUCUCAGAACCCGCACUAACUUUUUUCCUUUUUGUUUUUCUUUUAUUUUUAUUCCCCUCCUGCCACUCGCACACCUAAGCAAGUUGUGUAGGGACUUCAGACACAAAGGGAACCUUCGACUUAGACGGUUGUACCCCCUCAGGAUUAUGUGGUUCCAAUCAUGCCUGAUGAUAAGCAAUGUAGAUAGGAGAGGUUUGGUAUACUUAAGCCUCCGAAUUUCUGUGGUGUAGAGGGCGAGGAUGCCAAGGGUUUCUUGGACAAGUGUUAGAAGAUGUUUUAGACCACAGGUAUUUUGGAGACCAGUGGGGUCUCGUUCACUAACUUCUAGUUUUCAAGAGUUGCCUUUACUUGGUGGGAGGCCUAUGAGAGGCGUAGGUCUAUUGGUGUAGCUCCUCUUACAUGGCAGCAAUUCUCUGCUCUCUUUUUGGAGAAGCAUGUGCCACAGUCUCCCAUGGAGGAGCUGCGUAGGUAGUUCGAGCAGUUGCGUCAAGAUGAUAUGGCUAUGAAGCAGUACGGGAUGAGGUUUUCGGAGCUAGAUCGUCAUGCUGUAUGGUUGGUUCCUACGGAUAGAGAAAGGAUCAGGAGGUACAUGGAUAGCCUGAUAUAUCGGCUUCGGAUUCUCAUAACCAGAGAGAGGGUGUCAGGUGCUACUUUUGAGAAUGUUGUUGAUAUUGCCCAAGAGAUAGAGUCAGUUCGUCGCCAGGAGCGAGAUGAUAAUGAGGCUAAUAGGUCUCGAGGAUAUGGUAGUUUUGGUGGUGUUCCUUCGAGUGGUCAGUUUCAGCACGGCAGAUCCGUCCAUCCGACAUGCUAAGUUAGCUCGCCCAGUUCAUUGUGGGGCAUCAUCGGGCCACAGUUCUCAAAGUUCUCCUCAUGGGCACUCAUAACUUAGUGCCCUUCCAGCCCGGAGCUUGACCUGUGCUCUAUUAGUUUAGGGCUCUUCCAUGCAAGGUUCUUCUACUAGUCAUCCUGGUACUAGGGGUUCCCUUCAGUCCCCGUCCCCGUGCCCCACGCUAGGGAGUUGUUAUGAAUCUGGAGAGUUUAGGAAUUUGAGGAGACAGUGUCCUCGUCUUCUUGGGGCUCCAUCUCAAUAAAGGAUUCAGCCCUCGACUUCAGCUUUAGUUACUUCACCAUACGCCCAGGCAACUAGGGGUUGGGGUCAGUUAGUUAGGGGUCAUCCUAGAGGGAGAGGUCGAUCAGGUAGUGGUUAGGCCCGAUUCUAUGCACUCCCAGUCAUACCAAAUGUUAUUUCUUCAGAUGCAGUAAUUACACGUAUUGUCUCAGUUUGCCACAGAGAUGCCUCUAUCUUAUUUGAUCUUGUUUCCACUUUUUCACACGUGUCAUCACAUUUUGCUCGUUAUUUGGAUACGCCCCGUGAGUCUCUUGUUUAAAAAAAUUGAAAGAUCAGCUUCAGGAACUCAUAGAAAAUAGUUUUAUUUGGGCUAGUGUGUCACCGUGGGGUGCACCUAUGCUAUUUGUGAAGAAGAAAGAUAGCACAUGAGAAUGUGCAUUGAGUACAGGCAGUUGAACAAAGUAACAUUGAAGAAUAAGUACCCCUACCUCGUACUGAUGAUUUAUUCGACCAUCUUAAGGGAGCGAGGGUGUUUUUUAAGAUUGAUCUUCGUUCGGGUUAUCACCAUUUGAAGAUCAAGGAGUCAAAUAUUCUUAAGACUGCCUUCAAGACUAGAUGUGGUCAUUAUGCGUUUCUAGUUAUGUCUUUCGGGCUGACCAAUGCCCCAGCAGCGUUCAUGCAUCUGAUGAACAAUGUAUUUUGACCUUAUCUAGAUUCAUUUGUCAUAGUGUUCAUUGAUGAUAUUAUGGUGUACUCGUGUAGUCAGGAGGAGCACGCGCAAUAUUUGCGAGUUAUAUUGCAGAGAUUGGGGGAGGAGAAGCUUUAUGCGAAGUUCUCCAAGUGUGAGUUUUGGCUCAGUUUAGUGGCUUUUUUAGGACACGUGGUGUCCUGCGAGGGUAUUCGGUUGACCCGAAGAAGAUAGAGGCGGUGGACGUAUCUGGAUUCGUUUGUUAUUAUAUUCAUUGAUGAUAUUCUGGUAUACUCACGCAGCCAUGAGGAGCACGCAGAGCAUUUGCGAGUUGUAUUGCAGAGAUUAAGGCAGGAGAAACAGUAUGUGAAGUUCUCCAAGUGUGAGUUUUGGCUUAGUUCUGUGGCCUUCUUGGACACGUGGUGUCCAGUGAUGAUAUUCAGGUUGACCUAAAGAAGAUUUUGACGGUUCAGAGAUGGCCUAUACUAUCCUCGACCACAGAGAUUCAUAGUUUCCUCGAUUUAGUGGGUUAUUAUCGCCGGUUCAUUAAGGGUUUCUCAUCUAUUGCCUCGUCCUUGACCAAGUUGAUGUAGAAGGGUGCGUCCUUUGUAUGGUCGGAUGAGUGCGAGGAGAGCUUUCAGAAGCUCAAGAUAGCUUUGACCACGGCUCCAGUAUUAGCCUAACAAUCAACUUCAGGUUCUUUCACCGUUUAUUAUGAUGCUUCGAGAGUUGGGAUUGGCUGUGUAUUGAUGCAGGAGGGUAGAGCGAUUGCUUAUGGUUCUCGUCAGUUGAAGCCCCAUGAGAAGAAUUACCUUGUUCAUGACUUAGAGUUGGCUGCUAUAGUUCAUGCUUUGAAGAUUUGGAGGCACUCUUUAUACGGAGUAUCUUGUGAGGUAUUUACCGAUCGUCGCAGUCUUCGGCAUUUGUUCAAGCUGAAAGAUAUUAAUUUGAGGCAACAGAUGUGGCUUGAGUUACUUAAGGACUAUGAUAUUACCAUUUUAUAUCACUCGGGAAAGGCCAAUGCAGUGGCCGAUGCUUUGAGCCGAAAGGCAGUUAGUAUGGGUAAUUUGGCGUAUAUCCCAAUUGGGGAGAGGCCCUUUGCAGUUAAUGUUCAGGCUUUGGCCAAUCAGUUGGUGAGACUAGACAUUUCAGAGCCCAGUCGAGUAUUAGCAUGUGUGGUUUAUCGGUCUUCUUUAUAUUAGUGCAUCAAAGAGCGCCAAUAUGACGAUCCGCAUUUGCUUGUCCUCGGGGACAAAGUUCAGCCCGGAGAUGCUAGAGAUAUGACCAUAGGUGAUGGUGUGUGUUGAGGAUGCAAGGCCGUAUUUGUGUACCCAAUGUAGAUGGGCUUAGAGGUUUGAUUCUUGAUGAGGCCUACAGUUCGCGGUAUUACAUCCAUCCGGGUGCCUCGAAGAUGUACCAAGACUUGAGACAGAAUUACUGGUGGAGGAGAAUGAAGAAGAAUAUUGUGGAUUAUGUAGCUCGGUGUCUUAAUUGUGAGCAUGGGAAAUACGAGCAUCAGAGACUAGGCGGUUCACUUCAGCAGAUGGUUAUCCUUGAAUGGAAAUGAGAGAGAGUAACUAUGGAUUUCGUGAGUGGUCUUCCUCGGACUUUGAUAAGUUUGAUUCGAUUUGGGUGAUUGUGGAUCAGCCUAAACACAUACAUUGAUUUGUGCUGUAUUUUUAUUGUAUUUUUAUUGUAUAUUGUGUAUAUGUUGUAUAUCUUUAUUUUUGGGCCUGUUGCAAACUUGCCCAUUAGCCCAUUUUCGUUUUAAUUGAACCAACCCAAUGUAAUAGAGGCGGAUAUAUCUGGCUUCUAGGACCUUCUGUUGUACAGAGAGAACUCAUUUUUUCUCUACAGAGUUCUUCAACUGAAAAAUGGAAAGUCUUCAUCAUUUUCUUCAUCUUUAAUCUUCAAUGUUUUCACGCUUGUACUCCAUCUGUUCACUUUUACUUGUCGUAUAUUUUAAUAAUAAAUUUUUAUUUUUACUUAUCACUUUACGCAUAUCAAGAGAAGAUAAUUUUUUUUCCUGUUAUACCCACCGUAUUAAUUACUCUUUUCAAACCAUUUUCUUAAAUCCGAUAAAAAUAUACAUCAAUUAAUAUGGGUAUUAUGGUAAAUUAUGCACUUCAUUUAUUAUUUUUUAAGGGGCGUACAAAGUCCAUAGUAAACAAGUAAAAGUGAACAGAGGGAGUAUAUAUUUGUAAACUUUUGUUUUAAUUUUUAUUUUUAGCUCGAUGUUCGUUAUUUGUAUUUGUAUUGGGAUGAAGUCUCACAUUUGGGUAAAUUAAAGCAUUUCCUAGUAAAGGCAAUUACCCAAGACCCGAAUCGGAAUUUUACUACUUCUUCCGUUUCAUAUUAUUUAUCAUGAUUUUCUUGUACACACUCCUUAAGAAAAAUUAAUUAGGAUAUAAUUUUGAUUACUUUAUACUUAUUUAUGUUUUUAUAGUUAAUUUUUUUUUUUAUAUAUUUGAACAAAAUUAGGUGUUUGUAGUCUUUAAAUAUAUAAUUACUAUUCCGGGUAAAAAAAAUUAAUUUUAUUUUGAACUUUUAAAAUGACAAUAAUUUAAAAUAAAUAUUUUUUGUAAUUGCGGCUGUUAAUAUGAGACGAAGAGAGUAGCAAAUUGCGUCGGUUGUUCAAAUUUCUAUGUCCAUCUUUAUCUUGAAUCAUUGACUGUUGACAAAUAAGCUUAGUGGUCAUAUAGACACCCAACAAAUUAAGUAAUGACACUUCAUUAAUAUUUCAUCUUUACUCCUUAUCCUUUUUAUAUUUGUGGGACAAAGUAUCUAUUUCUAUUUCAGUUGAACUGAAAGAGAGAGUCAGGACAUCAGAUAAUAAAAUUGAGCAUUGGCUAAUAUACAGGCAUGACAAGUACAAUUUUAAGGCUAAAGUCGUAUAUAAGCUAAUUUAUAGUAUAAAAUUAUACACUGACAAUAACAAAGAAUAUUUACACUAUCAUUUUAAUUUAGUUCGUUGUAGAAAGUUGUCAGUUUUUUUUUAGAAGUUACUAAUUUCACGUAUUAUAAACAGUAUUUAUACAUAUUAAACUGCUACUCCUUGAUUGAAACGAAUCAUUAUCACAAGACCAGUACUUAUGAAUAUGUUUAAAUUUCUUUGUACUUAAUUAGUGAAGGAGGACUUAAAUUAUAUGUAUAUAUGUGUUGUAUACUGACACUGGGAAAAAAAUUCACUAUCACAAAAUUUUAAAUUGUGAGAUCAAGUAACUUAUUAUCUUUACCAGAUUAUAUAUCGCUUAAUGUUUAUGAAAAGAUUUACAUAUAUUUACCGAAUAAAUUUCAAGUCAUGAAUAUCACAUCUGUUCGAUAUUAAAAUAUAUAAAUUGAAUCGCACUCGAGCCUCUGUGUAGUGAGAUGGUCUCGUUAGGUGAUAUAAUGAGAUGAAAGCAUAAAAAAUCGACUUUAUGCAAAAUCAACAAGGAAAAGUUUGAUUGUUUGUUUUAGCAAUACGGUAAAGGACAAAUUCUUUUAGCUGGACCGAAUUGUAUAUAUAUUUUCUACACGUCAAUGCAUAUAUAUCCCUUAAACUUAGGGAUAUACAAAGGAAAUUUUCAAACUGCACCAAUCCGAUAAUUCGAGUCAAAUCGAGAAAAAAACUUGAUUAUAAUUUGGUUGAUUUAGUUUGGUGUUAGAAAAAAAAUUCGAUCGUAAUUGGUUUGGUUUGGUUUUAACUAAAGAAUGUCAAAUCGUAACCAAACCAACCCGACAUUACAUAUAUAGAAAAUUUAGAUAUAUUUAAUAUAUUAAUAUACUAACUGUGAUGUAAUUCUUAAACUUUUUCGUAAUUUUAUCUUUAAGGUACUAUCAUUUCAAGUUUGGACUAAAACUUUUGAAUGUUCCAAUCAGUUUUAUAGCCAUUAAUAUUAGUAAUUUAAAUAAUACUAAGAAAAGCCCAAACCAAAAUCAAAUCGAUAUUAAUGCUAACAAAAGACAUUCAAUUCAAUACUAGGAACGACAAUGUAUUGAAUAUAUAUUUUUUAUUUUGUAAUGAUUUAGAUUAUAAUGCAUAACCUAUUUUUAUUUUUCUUUAGUGUUUAGUCCAGUAAUUAAUACACCCUUAUUAAUCUAUUUAUUUUAGCACGACUUUGUACUUUAGAUUAUGUUUAUUUUUAUUAUGGCUUUUUAAUUAAUAAUAUUUAUAUUACAUGAUUUUAUUAUCUUCAUUGUUGAAUAUUUUAGGAUAAUGUCACAACACAUCGCAUAUUUUGUAUUAUUUUCUUGAAAAAUACCUUAUAUAGAUGAAUCUUAGUAGGAUUAAAGAAAUAUUUUGAGCACAUGUUAUAUGUUUUCAGUUAUGAAGAUUUUACCGGGAAAAAACCCGAAUAACUCGAAAAUCUAAGAAAACCCAAGAUUGAAACCCCGAGUUUUAUUGGUUUGAUUUUAUCUUUAGAUUUAAUAAUCCGACACAAUUGGUUUGGAUUGUUAAUUACAAAACCCGAACCAACCCGGCCUAUAUUAUGGAGGAUAACAAAUAGAUUAAGGUUUGCCUAACCCCGACAACAAUAUAUAGGUUUCAGUCUCAAUAUCGAAGUACGAAAAACAGACUGACAAGAAAAACACCCCUUUUUUCCUUUGAAAUUAAUUUUAAUUUGUAGAUUGAUGAUAUAAAAGUUACAUCCUCAAGUUAUUCAAAAAUUAUAACGACCUGGUCGGUCGUUUCAUAAGUUACAAUCUCGUUUCUCCCAUUUCUUCUUCUUUAUAUAUUUUUCAAAUGUAUUUCAUCGUAUCGUGUUGGUUAGUUUGGGUUCAGAGUGAUCGUGGAAUGGAAUGAGACACUUAGUCUCUUAUUUAGAAGCUUAAGUUGGAAAAGUCAAUUGGAUAUUGACUUAUGAGUAAAAAGUCUCAGAUGAGAAUUUAGAUGGUUCAAAUAGCUUCAUUAGGUAAUUUUGGACUUAGGAGCUUGUUCGGAAUAUAUUUUGGAGGUCAGUGGUAGAUUUAGGCUUGAAUUGGCGAAAUUGAAAAUUUGGCGAUUCCGACCGCCAAUGAAAAUCUUGAUAAUGAGGUCCGCAUGAAAUUUCAUAAAAUGGAGUAGGUCUGUUGUGUCGUCUGUGAUGUGUGUGCAAAAUUUCAGGUCAUUCGGAUGAGGUUUGGUAGGUUUUGGCACCAUUUGCGAAACUUGAAAGUUUGGAAAUCCUUAGGCUUGAAUCCAAGGGUGAUAUGGUAUUUCGAUGUUAUUUAGAAUAUUUUGAUGGUUGGGAUAAGAUAGAAUAGUGGUAAAAGACUUGUUGGUAUUGUUGGUUGAGGUCCCGAGGGCCACGAGAUAAAUUUGGAUGGUUAACACAAAGAUUAGGACUUGGAUUGAGCAGUUGAAGUUGUUGCUUCUAUCAUAUCUACACCUGCAGAUUGGGGACAGUAGGUGCGAGAGGGAGGCCACAGAUGCAGAGAAUUGAGAGCUGAGGCAAAUAUGCAGGUGUUCGCAAAGGACCGCACCUGGAACUCCGCAUGAGCGAGAAGUUGACCGCAGAAGCGGGUUCUGGGAUUUAAGUAAGGACCGCACCUGCGAUGAAUUUUCCACAGGUGCAUUGUUGUAGAAGCAACUUGGAGACCGAAGAUGAGGAAAUCACUGGCAGAAAGUAUAUAAAGGACCCUUCGCGAAUUUUGAUCAUUCUUCACAAAUCCAACUCGGUUUUUGGAGCUUUUGGAGGGUUUUGAAUAGGGAAUCAAGGGGAACUCGUUGAGGUACGAUCUUUGAAUUUAAUACUCGAUUCUAUGAUGAUUUUCAGUAGAUUAAGCUUGGAAUUUGUGGGAUUUAAAGGUUAAAAUUGGGAAAUUAGGGCUUGGAACAUAAGAGUUAAAAUUGGGUGAUUGAUAGAUAAAAUGAAGUUAGAUUUUUGCAAAUUUGGUAUGUAUGGACUCAUGAGAGGAUAAGGGUUCUAGUGUUUUGAUUUUUAUUGGAUUCCAAGACAUGGCCUCGGGGGGUCAGGUUGGCCAAUUUCGGGAAUUUUGAUUUAAUUUGAUAAAUUUUGCGUAGGCUUUGUUCCUUUAGCAUGUAUUCAUAAAGUGAUUCUGAUUUUGGACAGAUUCAGGGCGAUUUGAGGCCGAGUCGUGCGGCAAGGGCAUCAAGGAGUAUAUUUUCAUCCGGUUUGAGGUAAGUAACGAUUGUAAAUCCAAACCUGAGGGUAUGAAACCCAAAAAUUUCGUAAUAUUUUGAUAAAUGAGGUGACGUACAUGCUAUUUGACAGGCGUGUAGGCAUGCACCAAUAGGGAUUGUAACUUGGUCCGUCCCGUGGCAACAAUAGAGUUGUAUAUUUUGAUAAACUCUAUAUUAUAUUUAUGUGUUUAAGAGAUGGUUCUGUUAUCUUGGGACGAAUGCUAUGUUUUGGGCCAUGUAUCGUAUUGUUUAGACCCUUAGAGUUAUUUUACUACUAUCCACACAUUGUUUGUGAUAGAAAGCAUUAUCCUCAGUCAUUGUUUAUACCUGUUUAUUAUUUAAGCUUGUUAAUCACUCAAUUUAAUGAAAGUGUUUUGGGUUGAGUUCCCUGAGUAUGUACUGAAAUGCCCGAGUGGCUUGUGAGGUUGAUGAGUGAGUGAGGCCGAGGGCCGCAUUUUGAGGAUAGUUAGGGAUCGACUUGCACGCCGCAGAUAUAUAUAUAUAUAUNNNNNNNNNNNNNNNNNNNNNNNNNNNNNNNNNNNNNNNNNNNNNNNNNNNNNNNNNNNNNNNNNNNNNNNNNNNNNNNNNNNNNNNNNNNNNNNNNNNNNNNNNNNNNNNNNNNNNNNNNNNNNNNNNNNNNNNNNNNNNNNNNNNNNNNNNNNNNNNNNNNNNNNNNNNNNNNNNNNNNNNNNNNNNNNNNNNNNNNNNNNNNNNNNNNNNNNNNNNNNNNNNNNNNNNNNNNNNNNNNNNNNNNNNNNNNNNNNNNNNNNNNNNNNNNNNNNNNNNNNNNNNNNNNNNNNNNNNNNNNNNNNNNNNNNNNNNNNNNNNNNNNNNNNNNNNNNNNNNNNNNNNNNNNNNNNNNNNNNNNNNNNNNNNNNNNNNNNNNNNNNNNNNNNNNNNNNNNNNNNNNNNNNNNNNNNNNNNNNNNNNNNNNNNNNNNNNNNNNNNNNNNNNNNNNNNNNNNNNNNNNNNNNNNNNNNNNNNNNNNNNNNNNNNNNNNNNNNNNNNNNNNNNNNNNNNNNNNNNNNNNNNNNNNNNNNNNNNNNNNNNNNNNNNNNNNNNNNNNNNNNNNNNNNNNNNNNNNNNNNNUGAGACAACAAUAUAUAUAUAUAUAUGUGUGUGUGUGUGUGUGUGUGUGUGUGUGUGUGUGUGUUUGUUUGUUUGUGUGUGUAUGUGUGUGUAUGUGUGUGUGUGUAUAUGUGUGUGUGAGGGGGGAGGGAUGGGUGGAUCAGGCUGCACGCCGCAAUGAUAUAGCACUUGGGCUGUAGGAGCCCUUUCGGAGUCUGCACACCCCCAGUGAGCGCAUUCGACUAUAUAAUUAUGGAUCGGGCUGCACACCGCAACGGUUAUUAUAUGUUACUAUGAGGGACUACUGAGCGUGAGUGACGAUUGAUGAGAGUUGAGUCACGAGUGACUGAGAGGCUUGUUCGAUGGGCUAUAUAUAUGAGUGAUACUUUGAUCGAGGGGCUUGUUUUAUGAAAUUGUUGUUUUCACUCUUCUUUUACACUAAUCCUAUAAUAAAAUUGUUGAACAAAUAUUUUUAAUAACUUUCAUUGAAACUGGAGUUCUUAUGAGAUGUUUGGAAUUUCUAUACUGAUUUGAACUUGUUAUUUCCACCGAUUUUUAUGUUAUGAUAUGUAUAUGAUUUUUAAAUUCUCGUCAUUGUACCCAACCUUUAUUUAUAAUUGUUACUUACUAAGUUGGCGUACUCACAUUACUCCACCUUGUGUACAGAUCCAGGUGCCAGGGUAUCCAAGUGAGAGUUGUUCUUUUCCUUCUGAGCAUUUUCAGAGUUAGCAAGGUAGCUGCACGGCAUUCGCAGCCUUGCCUUUCUCCUUCAUAUCUAUUAGUAUUUAUUUUUAUUUGACUCAUUUUGUAUUGAGCAGAUAAUAACAGAUUGUAUUGUAGUGGCUCAUGAUUAGUGACACCGGGAUCGGGCAAUGUUUGAUGUUUUUCAUAUUUUUUCGAUUGUUGAGAUGUUUAAACGGAAGAUUUGUGAUAAUAUCUGACUAGUAGAUGAAUUAAUAAAAAGACAUUUAUGUUAUGAAUGUUGAAUGGCUUUCCUAGUGAUGCGAUAGGCAUCAUCACAGCCGGGAUGUUAUCAUUUUCAAUGAUACCAAGUCCCGGCUUAGCACUUCUUUAGCUAAAAUCAACAGGCUAGGUUUGGAACCCUUGUCGCAGCCAAGUUGGUAUGAGGGCCUAGGUUACACAGGUCUCACCAGUCAUGAGCAAGUUUUGUAGAGUCUUGUGUAUCGGUACAGAAAUGCCUGUACUUAUCUUCGAGAGGUUGCUGAACCUUUAGGAAAAAACUACACAUUCUUGAAUUCCUGUCAUGUGAAUCUGUUGAUUCUGGUAACUAACUUUCUAUUUUUCUAUUCUCUCACAGAUGGUGAGGACACAUACUACCGGACAGGACGGACGACCACUAGUACCACUAGUUGGGGCUUUAGAGGCCUAGGUCACGGUCAAGGCCAUGGUAGGGACAGGGUGUAUCCCACACAAUAGCUAGGGUAGCACCUGCAGAUCUAUUAGCCGCCCAAUUCACGAUCAGGUUCCAGUUGCAGACUCUCCAGUAGGAUCAUAUCAGGCACCGUCUGUGCCGAUUGUUAUCCCAAGCCUUCAAGAGGCAUAGCUCAAAUUCUAUCAGUUUGCAUUGGCUUGGUUCAGGCGGUCUCAGUUACUAUAGUCGCAGCUACUUCUUAGUCCAGGGAAGGCACCCAAACUCCUGCGACUCGCACACCUAAGCAAGUUGUGUAGGGACUUCAGACAAAGGGGGCACCUUCGGCUUAGACGGUUGUACUUGCUCAGGAUUAUGUGGUUCCAGUCAUGCCUGAUGAUAAGCAAUGUAGCUAGGAGAGGUUUGGUAUACUUAAGCCUCCGACUUUCUGUGGUGUAGAGGGCGAGGAUGCCAAGGGUUUCUUGGACAAAUGUUAGAGAUGUUUUAGACCGCAGGUAUUUUGGAGACCAGUGGGGUCUCGUUCAGUAACUUCUAGUUCUCAAGAAUUGCCUUUACUUGGUGGGAGGUCUAUGAGAGGCGUAGGUCUAUUGGUGUAGAUCCUCUUACCUAGCAGCAAUUCUCCACUCUCUUUUUGGAGAAGCAUGUGCCACAGUCUCCCAAGGAGGAGCUUCGUAGGUAGUUCGAGCAGUUGCGUCAGGAUAAUAUGGUUAUGACGCACUAUGGGAUGAGGUUUUCGGAGCUAGAUCGUCAUGCUGUUUGGUUGGUUCCUACGGAUAGAGAGAGGAUCAGAAGGUACAUGGAUAGCCUGAUAUAUCGGCUUCGGAUUCUCAUGACCAGAGAGAGGGUGUUAGGUGCUACUAUUGAGAAGGUUGUUGAUAUUGCCCGAGAUAUUGAGUCAGUUCGUUGCCAGGAGCGAGAUGAUAGGGAGGCUAAGAGGUCUCGAGGAUAUGAUAGUUUUGGUGGUGUUCCUUCGAGUGGUCAGUUUCAGCACGGCAGAGGCCGCCCAUUCCGACAUGCAUAGUUAGCUCGCCCAGUUCAUUGUGGGGCAUCAUCGGGCCACGGUUCUCAAAGUUCUCCUCAUGGGCACUCAUAACUUAGUGCCUUCCAUCCCGGAGCUUGUCUUUUUCUCUAUUAGUUUAGGGCUCUUCCAUGCCAGGUUCUUCUACUAGUCAUCCUGGUACUAGGGGUUCCCUUCAGUCCCCCUCCCCGUCCACCACGCCAGGGAGUUGUAAUGAAUAUGGAGAGUUUGGGAAUUUUAGGAGACAGUGUCCUCGUCUUCUUGGGGCUCCAUCUCAAUAAAGGAGUCAGCCCUCGACUUCGGCUUUAGUUACUUCACCAUACGCCCAGGCAACUAGGGGUGGGGGUCAGUCAGUUAGGGGUCAUCCUAGAGGGAGAAGUCGAUCAGGUGGUGGUUAGGACCGUUUCUAUGCACUCCUAGUCAUACCAAAUGCUAUUUCUUCAGAUGAAGUAAUUACACGUAUUGUCUCAGUUUGCCACAGAGAUGUCUCUGUGUUAUUUGAUCUUGUUUCCACUUUUUCACACGUGUCAUCAUAUUUUCCUCGUUAUUUGGAUACGCCCUGUGAGUAUCUUGUUUCAUCUAUUCAUGUAUCUUCUCCGGUGGGUGAUACUAUUAUUGUGGACCGUAUAUAUCAGUUGUGUAUGGUGACUAUUGGUGGUUUGGGGACCCAAGUGGACCUUCUAUUGCUUUGUAUGAUGGAUUUUGAUGUGAUAUUUGGCAUGGAUUGGUUACCUCUAUGUCGUGCUAUUUUGGAAUUUCAUGCUAAGACAGUGACGUUGGUCAUGCCUGGUUUGCCGCGGAUUGAGUGGGUUUGACGGAUUAUGUUCCCAGUAUAGUAAUUCUGUUUUUGAAGGCUCAACGGAUGGUUGGGAAGGGUUGUCUUUCUUAUUUGGCCUUCAAGAGGGAUGUUAGUGUAAAGACUCCUACCACAGAUUCAGUCCCGGUAGUGAGGGACUUUCCAGAUGUGUUUCUUGCAGACCUUUCGGUCAUGCCACCAGAUAGGGAUAUUGACUUCGGUAUUGAUUUGGUUCCGGUACUCAACCCAUUUCUAUAACACCGUAUCGUACGGCACCAGUGGAGUUGUAGGAGUUAAAGGUGCAGCUUCAGGAACUUCUUAAUAAAGGGUUUAUUCGACCUAGUGUUUCGCCUUGGGAUGUGCCUGUUCUAUUUGUGAAAAAGAAGGAUGGCACGACGAGGAUGUGCAUUGAUUACAGGUAGUUGAACAAAUUCACAAUAUAGAACAAGUAUCAUUUGCCUCUUAUUGAUGAUUUAUUUGAAAAUUUUUGUGGGCGAGAGUGUUCUCCAAGAUUGAUCUCCGGUCAGGGUAUCACCAGCUGAAUAUCAGAGACUCGAAUAUUCAAAAGAUGACUUUCAGGACCCGAUAUGGUAAUUAUGAGUUCUUUGUGAUAUAUUGUGGACUGACCAAUGCCCCAGUAGAGUUCACGCAUUUGAUGAACAGCGUGUUUCGGCCUUAUCUCGACUAGUUUGUUAUUAUAUUCGUUGAUGAUAUUCUAGUGUACUCGUGUAAUCGGGAUGAGCAUGUUGAGCAUUUGAGAGUUGUAGUACGGCGGUUGAGGGGGAAGCUUUAUGGGAAUUUCUCCAAGUGUGAGUUUUGGCUUAUUUCAGUGGCUUUCUUGGGGCACGUAGUGCCUAGUGAGGAUAUUCAGGUUGAUCCGAAGAAGAUAAAUGCGGUUCAAAGUUGUCCUAGACCGUCUUUAGACAUAGAGAUUCGUAGCUUUCUCGGUUUGGUGCGUUAUUACUGUUAGUUCAUUGAGAGAUUUUCAUCUAUUGCAUCACCAUUGACCAAAUUGACUCCAAAGGGUGCUCCAUUCAGGUGGUCGGAUAAGUGUGAGGCGAGCUUCCAGAAGCUCAAGACUGCCUUGACCACAGAUUUAGUGUUAGUUUUGCCAUCAUCCUUAGGUUCUUAUACAGUAUAUUGUAAUUCUUCUAUAGCUGAUAUUGGGUGUGUGUUGAUGCAGAAGGGUAGAGUGAUUACUAAUGCUUCUCGUAAGUUGAAACCCCAUGAGAAGAGCUACCAUGUUCAUGAUUUGGAGUUGGCUGCCAUUGUUCACGCAUUGAAGAUUUGGAGGCAUUAUCUUUAUGGCGUGUCUUCUGAGGUGUUUAUUGAUCAUCGUAGCCUCCAGCACCUGUUCAAGCAAAAGGAUCUCAAUUUGAGGCAGCGGAGAUGGUUAGAGCUGCUAAAGGAUUAUGAUAUAAAUAUCUUGUACCAUUCGGGGAAGGUUAAUGUAGUGGUCGAUACCUUGAGUAGGAAGGCGGUGAGUAUAGGUAGUUUGGCGUAUAUUCUUAUUGGGAAGAUAUUUAGGCCUUAGCCAAUCGGUUUUUUAGGUUGGAUAUUUCAGAGCCCAGUCGGAUCUUAGUUUGUGUGGUUUCUCGAUCUUCCUUGUUCGAUCGCAUCAGAGAGCACUAGUAUGAUGAUCCUUAUUUGCUCAUCCUCAAGGACUGAAUUCAGCACGACGAUUCCAGAUAUUUGAUGUGACUAUUUGUGAUGAUGGGGUAUUGAGGAUGCAGGGCCGAAUAUGUGUGACCCAUGUAGAUUGGCUUCGGGAGUUGAUUAUGGAGGAGGCUCAUAGCUUGUAGUAUUCCAUCCAUCCGGGCGCCGCGAAGAUGUAUAAGGAUUUGAGACAACACUACUGGUGGAUGAGAAUGACGAAAGACAUAGUAGGAUUUGUAGCUCGGUGCCUCGAUUGUCAGCAAGUGAAAUAUGAGCAUCAGAUACUGGGUGGCUUGCUUCACCAGAUAGAUAUUCCAGAAUGGAAGUGGGAGCGAAUCACCAUGGAUUUCGUAGUUAGGCUCCCAUGGACCUUUAGGAAGUUCAAUGCUAUUAGGGUGAUUGUGGAUCGGCUGACCAUGUCCGCACACUUCAUUCAUGUGUGUACUACCUAUUCUUCAGAACGGUUAGUAGAUAUUUAUAUCCAAGUGACUGUUCGCCUUCAUGGUGUCAAGUUUCCAUCAUUUCAGAUAGAGGUAAUCAGUACAUCUCAGUUUUAGAGGGUCGUGCAGUGAGAGUUGGGUACUCACUUGAGAUAAGCACAACUUUUCGCCCUUAGACAAACAUGCAGUAUAAGCGCACUAUUCAGAUAUUAGAGGACAUGUUGCGCACUUGUGUCAUUGAUUUUGGGGGCCUAUAGGACCAGUUUCUACCGUUCGCAGAGUUUGCAUAUAACAACAAUUAUCAAUCGAGUAUUCAGAUUGCUCCAUAUGAGGCUUUAUAUGGAAGACGAUGUAGAACUCUAGUAGGGUGGUCUGAGCCGGGCGAGGACACGCUUUUGGGUAGAGACUUGGUGCAGAUUGCUUUGGACUAGGUGAAAGUGAUUCAGGAGCAACUUCGUACAACUUAGUCAAGACAAAAGAGAUAUGCCAAUAGAAAGGUUCUCGAUAUGUCUUACAUGGUUGGGGAGAAGGUUCUACUAAAGGUUUCAUCCAUGAAGGGUGUUAUGACAUUUGGGAAGAAGGGUAAAUUGAGUCAUUGGCUCAUUGGGCCUUUUUAGGUGCUUUGGAGGAUUGAGGAGUUGUCGUAUGAGCUAGCUUUGCCAUCUAGCUUGUCGAGUGUGUGUCAAACCUCCUUUUUUACACAUCUAUCCCAAAGGAAAAUGUAUAAGGGAGUUUGUCUAUUUUAAGUGACAUUAUUUGAAUCGGUUUAUUUAUUCAAUUAGAAUUGUCACUUGGGAUAGUUUUGGCUUUUGGUGUCCCAAGUCACCGGUUUAUCUCGAAUCCCAAAUCGAGAAAUAUUUUUGGCUUCCCAAUUGGAGUCUGCGAACCAGAAAUUCUAAGUAAGGAAUUCUGUUGACCCGAAGGAAGGUGUCAGGCACACUAGGAUCCCGUGGUUCUAGCACGGUCGCCUAAACUGUUAUAAAUGGCUAACAUACCUGAUUUUGAAACAUUUUGUAACUUACGUGCAUUUAACUUUGAACCGCUUUAUUAUUAUUUCAAAGAGAGUUGCAACGUCAUAAAAAUGCGUCUCGAACCACAUCACAUAAAUGCAUCCGGGAUUUUCAACACAUUUAGACUUUGUUGAGAUUUGAAUUUGGGUCACAUAAAUGUGCACCCGUAUUUAGGAAGGUAAAAUUAUUAAUGACGACCCUAAAGAGACUAGCGUAUUGUUAACUUUGAGGAUGGCUGUGAAAUUCGCUAAACGACCCAUCCCAAACUCUAAGUAUUUUAAUAUAGAUAUUUAAAGAGGACCCCAUAAUUUAUACAUUUUUGUUUGGCAAGGCUCAUCUCACUUUUUUAGUUAAAGGCUAACCUAAAGCAAACUAUGAUUUUCUAUUUAUAUUUUGUCUCUAAAAUAAAAAGAUAAGGCGUUAAUCAAUUGGUAUCAUUUAAAUGAACAACCUUAAUAAAGUCUUUCAGCAAUUUUAGUCUUCAAACUAGGCCUAAUAAAAGAAAUUUCAACCAGUUUGGUAAACGGCCUGCACUCAGGCCUAAAUGAGAAGGGAAACAAUUAUGUUUUGGGCCUUCAACAUGAGCCCAGAUUACUUUACGGCCUUUAAUCGCUGCCCAUUGAUUUUAGUUCACAAUAGGCUUAACGUUUUGGACAUAUAGGAUGAGCCUUGUGUUCAUGCUAGUUUCAAUUCAUUGGUUUUAAAUCCUAACGGUCUAGGCCAGUUUAACACCAUUACAUACAAAUAUCUGAAUUGGCUAAGCUAAUUAAACUAAUGCAUUUAAUUUGUAACGUAGGCAUACUUUUAUACUAACAUCAACUAAUGGUAUAUGAUACAUUCAACUAACAGUACCCUGAAUCAGUCAAAUGCCUAAACAUCAAUCAUAAAAGCAAUCAGUAGUUUCCACACUCAGUUUCGAUUUCCUAACAAUUAAAUGACAACAAAUUCGAACUAAAUAAGUUGUUAAGCCAUUCUUAUCCUGAGGCUAUCAUCAAGUAAAAUUCACAAGUGCUCAAUAGUCCAGAUUAUACAACAGUUCUGAUCGACUCUAGUUCAAAUGAUUACAAAACUGAUUUUGUUUCACACAAUUAUACUAAUGUCUAGGUUUAUACAAAUAAUAGAUCAGCUAAACCAAUAGAAGACAGUUGAAACAUAAUAGGCUAUUUGGAAUGGUAAAUCCACAGCAACACCAUCUUAGUUUCAUUCCAUUUUAAAAGGAGAGAGCUACAUUGACUAGUUCAAGGUGUGUAGCUGGAAGUAGGAAUACAAUGAAAAGAGAGAAGUGAUCACCAACAGCAAUAAACAGCAUAGUAUCACAGCAAAUAGGAUCAUUUGAAGACCACAAGACCCAGGAAUAGAGGACGGAUGACAAUUAGCCAGCGAAAUCAAUCCAGAAACUAAAUCGAUUGACUAGUUUCAACUAAGACCAAGCCAAAUAGCUCAAAUAUACCCAAAACCAUUUCAAAUUGGAAUGCAGAACACCUCAAAACUUCUGUGAUUGUAGUUAUGCUAAUGAUGAACAUCAGUGAUUGGAAUUCAAAAUCAGCCUAUGUAACAAUUCUUUUUUUUGUUUUUUUCUAUAUUUUCUUUUGUUUUGUUUUUGGAAAUUUGAAUUUAAAAUUCAAAUUUUCUAAAUUUAAAAAAUAUUUUUGGGGGAAUUUUGAUUCUGGAGGAUUUUUGGGAAUUUUUCCAGAUCUGGAACCUUGUGAAUAAGGCAGAAAUGAUUGCCUUUUAGGCAAAAGAGGGAUGGGAAGCUUCUAGAUUACACUCACACUUUUUUCCUCUUUUAGUUUCAGAUCUCACUUAUUAGACCUUUAUUUUUUUGACUUGUUUCUUAAGUACUGCCCUAAGUUUACGAAAAUCUGCACUAAAGCCCUAUUCUAGAAGAUUCUAGGAAAUUCUAGUGUUAACUACAACAUUUUCUUUGUAUAUGAAUACCUAAACUACCCUUAUUUUAUUAUGAAAUUUACUAAACUAGUACUAACUAAACUCCAUACCCUUUAACCCUAGUCAAGGUAAUGUGCUAUAGCCAACUGACAUUAACCAUAUGAUUAACUCAACUACUGAAAUCAAUGAAACAAAAUCAUAUAUCAAAAUAGAUUUGAACUAACAUCACAAAACAAGAUUAACCAAAAAUCAGAACAAAAAGCAAAGCUAACAAAAAUCAGGAUUGACUUAAGGACUAAAAUCAGCAUAAACCCUAAGAAGUAACGAUGGACCAAAUAAUAAAAAUUAGAUUUCAUAACAGUCACCCAAACGAAAAAAUAAAAAAGAAAAAAUUAAGGAAAUACCUAGUUUUGAAAUUUAAAGAAAACCUUGCCAUCCUCAAAGCUUCAAAUCCGAUGGCCCAUGUUUUUGAACAAAUUUGGACUAUGACCAUCCUUAAUUAGGUGUUUCCCCUGAUAAAAUUAAGGGAUAUUAUAGCUCGGAAACCAUUUUACUCCCAAUUUGUAAGAGUUAGGGUUUUGAGGACAAAUUUCAAAUUAAGAUUCGACACGAACAGGGGUGAUUCGAAGGUUGAGGACUGUGAAUUUGGGAUGAUUGGGUGUAAGGAGAAUGUGGGGUGUUAAUUUGGUUGGUUUUGGGGGAGUUUGCAUUUUGGUCGAAAUUUUAAUGUGAUAUUCGAGACGAUUGGUGGGGAUUCGAAGGAAAUUAUUUUGGGAGUUGGAAAGAGGAGAGGAAGAUGAUUCGAUGGUGUAUUUUUUGGGGUCGAUUGGGUCUUCGCCGUCGGCAGAGACGAUUUUCAUCUGGCGGCACCGGCGGAAGGACGGCGGAGCACAGGGGGUACAAGGAACAGGCCACUGGUCUCGAGGGUUUUGAAUUUUUCGGACAAUUAUAUUUAAAGUGAAGAACCUUUGUGAGUCGUUGGAUUAGGAAAUAUGGAGGGCUCAAAUUAAUUGGGAUUGAAACGAUGUAGUAGCACCCCCACACUAUGGCAUUAUGAUGGUUUGAGAGAUGGGGUGUUUGGAGCAGGGAUGGGUGCAAUUUAGGCUUGUUUUUUGGGCAGAAUUGUGUCUGGACUGGCCCAAAAUUUGGUAUUUAUUAGUACUAAGCUUUUCUUUUAAGUCUUUUUAUUUGUUUUCUUUUUUUUUUACUUGUUUUCUUUUUUUUUUAUUGUCUUCUAAUUUUAUUAAAUGUA
rnacentral:lncRNA from 1 species